GCUCAGAUUGAACGCUGGCGGCAGGCCUAACACAUGCAAGUCGAGCGGAUGAAGGGAGCUUGCUCCUGGAUUCAGCGGCGGACGGGUGAGUAAUGCCUAGGAAUCUGCCUGGUAGUGGGGGAUAACGUCCGGAAACGGGCGCUAAUACCGCAUACGUCCUGAGGGAGAAAGUGGGGGAUCUUCGGACCUCACGCUAUCAGAUGAGCCUAGGUCGGAUUAGCUAGUUGGUGGGGUAAAGGCCUACCAAGGCGACGAUCCGUAACUGGUCUGAGAGGAUGAUCAGUCACACUGGAACUGAGACACGGUCCAGACUCCUACGGGAGGCAGCAGUGGGGAAUAUUGGACAAUGGGCGAAAGCCUGAUCCAGCCAUGCCGCGUGUGUGAAGAAGGUCUUCGGAUUGUAAAGCACUUUAAGUUGGGAGGAAGGGCAGUAAGUUAAUACCUUGCUGUUUUGACGUUACCAACAGAAUAAGCACCGGCUAACUUCGUGCCAGCAGCCGCGGUAAUACGAAGGGUGCAAGCGUUAAUCGGAAUUACUGGGCGUAAAGCGCGCGUAGGUGGUUCAGCAAGUUGGAUGUGAAAUCCCCGGGCUCAACCUGGGAACUGCAUCCAAAACUACUGAGCUAGAGUACGGUAGAGGGUGGUGGAAUUUCCUGUGUAGCGGUGAAAUGCGUAGAUAUAGGAAGGAACACCAGUGGCGAAGGCGACCACCUGGACUGAUACUGAC
rnacentral:rRNA from 1 species